AUGUAUGGCCAUACUAGACUGAAUGCAUCUCUUCUUGGAAGCUAAGCUAUCUUGGGUCUGGCAAGUACUUGGAGGGGAAGCCGUGCUGGAAUACCAGCCAUCGUAGAUC
ensembl:rRNA 5S_rRNA 5S ribosomal RNA